AACGUAGGAGGCGAGCGUUAUCCGGAUUUACUGGGUGUAAAGCGCAUGCAGGCGGUUUGUUAAGUUGGGUGUGAAAGCUCCUGGCUAAACUGGGAGAGGUCGCUCAAGACUGGCAGACUAGAGAGUGGUAGGGGAAGGUGGAAUUCCAGGUGUAGUGGUGAAAUGCGUAGAUAUCUGGAGGAACACCAGUGGCGAAAGCGGCCUUCUAGGCCACGACUGACGCUCAGAUGCGACAGCUAGGGUAG
rnacentral:rRNA from 1 species